rnacentral:rRNA from 1 species
CACGGGUGCUUGCACCUGGUGGCGAGUGGCGGACGGGUGAGUAAUGCAUCGGAACGUGUCCAGGAGUGGGGGAUAACGCAUCGAAAGAUGUGCUAAUACCGCAUAUACUCUGAGGAGUAAAGCAGGGGACCGCAAGGCCUUGCGCUUUUGGAGUGGCCGAUGCCUGAUUAGCUAGUUGGUGGGGUAAGGGCCUACCAAGGCGACGAUCAGUAGUUGGUCUGAGAGGACGACCAGCCACACUGGGACUGAGACACGGCCCAGACUCCUACGGGAGGCAGCAGUGGGGAAUUUUGGACAAUGGGCGGAAGCCUGAUCCAGCAAUGCCGCGUGAGUGAAGAAGGCCUUCGGGUUGUAAAGCUCUUUCAGUUGAGAAGAAAAGGUUGUGGUAAAUAAUCACAAUUGAUGACGGUAUCGACAGAAGAAGCACCGGCUAACUACGUGCCAGCAGCCGCGGUAAUACGUAGGGUGCAAGCGUUAAUCGGAAUUACUGGGCGUAAAGGGUGCGCAGGCGGCUUUGUAAGUCAGAUGUGAAAUCCCCGGGCUUAACCUGGGAAUUGCGUUUGAAACUACAAAGCUAGAGUGUAGCAGAGGGGGGUGG